rnacentral:rRNA from 1 species
CACGUAGGGCGCAAGCGUUGUCCGGAAUUAUUGGGCGUAAAGAGCUCGUAGGCGGUCUGUUACGUCUGCUGUGAAAACCCUGGGCUUAACCCUGGGCUUGCAGUGGAUACGGGCAGACUAGAGGCAGGUAGGGGAGAAUGGAAUUCCCGGUGUAGCGGUGAAAUGCGCAGAUAUCGGGAGGAACACCGGUGGCGAAGGCGGUUCUCUGGGCCUGACCUGGACGCUGAGGAGCGAAAGCGUGGGGAGCGAACAGG